rnacentral:rRNA from 1 species
AUUGAACGCUGGCGGCAGGCCUAACACAUGCCAGUCGAACGGUAACAGGAAGCAGCUUGCUGCUUCGCUGACGAGUGGCGGACGGGUGAGUAAUGUCUGGGAAGCUGCCUGAUGGAGGGGGAUAACUACUGGAAACGGUAGCUAAUACCGCAUAAUGUCGCAAGACCAAAGAGGGGGACCUUCGGGCCUCUUGCCAUCGGAUGUGCCCAGAUGGGAUUAGCUUGUUGGUGGGGUAACGGCUCACCAAGGCGACGAUCCCUAGCUGGUCUGAGGGGAUGACCAGCCACACUGGAACUGAGACACGGUCCAGACUCCUACGGGAGGCAGCAGUGGGGAAUAUUGCACAAUGGGCGCAAGCCUGAUGCAGCCAUGCCGCGUGUAUGAAGAAGGCCUUCGGGUUGUAAAGUACUUUCAGCGGGGAGGAAGGGAGUAAAGUUAAUACCUUUGCUCAUUGACGUUACCCGCAGAAGAAGCACCGGCUAACUCCGUG